CCUGAGUGGAAUUCGGACGCUUAACCAAAUUCAGGCUUGCUUCCCGGAAGAAACCCUGACAGAAGUUCAGAAGAACGGGAGCUGCAUUCUGUUAGGACGUGAAUACAUGAAAUGCUCGUCUCAUGACCUUCUAGAAGAAUGAGCUGGGACCCACUUUCCGAGUCCUGCUGGAACCAGAGACCGAGAAAAUAAAAACGCCCUGGAAGACAAGUGUAAUGCAUUGAGGUCUGUGAAAGCCACAGUGGAAGCAAAAGUCAAACAGCUGAAAGAGAAAGCACAUAACCUGGAAGAAUUCUAUGAACAAAGAAAAGUGCCUACAAAAAAGAAGCUGAAAAUGACACUGUGAACUGGCGGCAAAGAAGAAUCAGCUAGCAGCUGCAGGCAACAAAUUGAACAAACACGGGAACAGCUGCAGCAGGCAGAACUCACCUUUAGAUACCAGCUUGCAGUUCAUGAGAAGAAUGCUCAGGACAACUAGGCUGGACGGGAUGGAACCAAAGAGGCUGCCUGAGGGACACACGAGGCAGAAACCAAUCACUGCAAGAACCCUCCAAGGAGAGGGCAGUCUGGAUCCUGGGGACCUCCUCCAUUAACUGGACGAUUCUGCAUGCCCUACCCUGGAGACGCCCCGCCCCCAUGGACUAUUAGGCACGUCCACCUCCUGAACCUUAGUGGCCCUGAGGCCACCCGGAACCCCUCCACCUGCAACACUUGGCUAUUUUGUAUGCAAGAGUCCUGGUCCUUUCCCAGCAUUGCCUUGCAGGCUGUACCCUGUGG